AUCUGGGCGGCGGAAUUCAAGACGGCUGGCGAGUCUCGCGCUCGUUCGGCCGUUUGAUAUUUCCGUCGCCGUGUCAGACGUCGCGACCUGUUUGUCGUCGGUCCUUGCUCGGAGGAAUUGCGAUCGAGUUCGUUGCGGGCGCGUUUCGGCGUGCUUCGCGGCGAAGACGCGACUCUCUGGCUGACGACGGACAGUAAGCAACGGUGUCCGGCGCCGUGUCUCGCACUCGGCGUCGGUGCCGGUCAGCGACGAUUUCUUCGGGCCUCUUUCCGACCCGUCUUGAAACACGGACCAAGGAGUCUAACAUGCGCGCGAGUCGCGGGGUUUCGAGCGUACCACGGUGCGCUCGUUACUUCCGAAACCCGUACGUUGAAGGCGUAAUGAAAGUGAAUAGGGAAGAUGGCGUUCCGAGUCCACGUACCGUGAUCGAGUAUCGCGGCCGGACGUCCGCACUCCCGGGGCGUCUCAAUGGUUCGCCACGGAUGCGGACGAUCGUCUUUCGGGGCGGUCGUCGGUCUGUGGCGGUCCGA
rnacentral:rRNA from 1 species